rnacentral:lncRNA from 1 species
GUAAUGGAGUCGUUAUAGCAAUUGUGUGACAAAAAAUUUACUAAAAAAUAAAUUAUACCAACAUAUGUGAAAUGUGAAUAAAAUGAUGUUGAUAUGGUAACAUUGAAAUGUCCGAUUUGUGAAAGUUUGUCCAUCACAAUGGAUAAACUACGACAACAUGUGGAAAUGCUUCAUAAUAUCACAUUUGAUAUGGAGACAAAGUUUAAUAGCGUUCAAGGUAAGACUUGUAAAUGACUAAGAAACAAGAUAAAAACUUAUUCUGUGGUCUAAUCUACAUCUCUGAAAUAUUAUAUUCAUCAAGAAUAAAAGAACUCCCAAACAAAAAACUUUGCCUUCAAAGAAGGUUUCGUUCUACUAAAAAAGACGGGAUUGUAAAUGUGCAGAUCGAGCAGCAAUUAAAAAAACCUACAGCAACAGAAAAACAGCUGUUAAGAACAAUUCUAGUAACUG